rnacentral:rRNA from 1 species
AUGGUUGUGCGCAAGCCGGCGCACCUCUUCCUCGACGAGCUCAACAUCGAGUACGACGAGCAGGAGGACUACGUGGUCAUCAAGCAUGCCGCGCUCUUCACCUCCACCGUGCUGAGCCGCCUCCUCGCACGGCCCAACGUGAAGCUCUUCAACGGCGUUGUCGUGGAAGACCUGCUCGUCAAAGAGCACCGCGUCGCCGGCGUGGUCACCAACUGGGCGCUCGGGUCGACGAACCAGGCACAAUCCCACAUGGACGCCAACGUCAUGGAAGCCAAGAUCGUCGUAAGCUCAUGUGGCCACGAGGGGCUGUUCAGUGCCAACGGGAAGGGAGUCAAACGGCUCGAGGACAUGGGAAUGAUCAAGACGGUGCCCGGAAUGGAGGCGCUUGACACCAACAUGUCCGAGGAUGCGAUUGUCCGCUUAACCCGCGAGGUCGUCCCCGGCAUGAUCGUCGCCAGUGUUGAGGUCGCCGAGAUCGACGGGCCCCAGAGGAUGUGCCCAACGUUCGGCGCCACGAUUAUCUCCGGCCAGAAGGCAGCGCACCUGGCACUCAGGGCGCUCGGCCGUCCGAACGGCAUCGACCCGGAGACGGCCCGAGCGUGA